rnacentral:rRNA from 1 species
GACGAACCGUGCGAACGUUAUUCGGAAUCACUGGGCUUAAAGGGCGCGUAGGCGGGUGCUCAAGUCCGGGGUGAAAUCCUCCAGCUCAACUGGAGAACUGCCUCGGAUACUGGGUGCCUCGAGGGUGGCAGGGGUAUGCGGAACUAUCGGUGGAGCGGUGAAAUGCGUUGAUAUCGAUAGGAACUCCGGUGGCGAAGGCGGCAUACUGGUCCACUUCUGACGCUGAGGCGCGAAAGCCAGGGGAGCAAACGGG